UUUUUAAUUCUUUAUUUUUGAUGUGCAUGGAUUAACAAUAGGCUUGUUCAGCCACAACAGCAGUCACAAGCAGUAAUAUACAGUUGAAACAUAACGUGGCAUAUGACUAUACCGCACAUUUUUAGUUUUAUAAAAGAAAAUAUAAGCAAUGAGUGAGCGACGCUUGAGAUGUGCUGAACGUUUGUCUUUGUCACAAUGGUAAAGUCAGGAAGUAUAAACACAGCGUUGAUACAUUAGUAACGUGGAGAUAUCGGCAUAUUAGUUAAAGUUAAGUUGUAGUUUGUAGACAAAGUUAUAUUUAUGAGUUUUGGUCUUGCGUGUCAGUUAAGG